GACGAACGCUGGCGGCGUGCUUAACACAUGCAAGUCGAACGGGAUUUAGUAAACAGGAGCCUCGGUGGAAGAUUACUAAUGAGAGUGGCGAACGGGUGAGUAACGCGUGAGCAACCUGCCUAUGACAGUGGGAUAGCCUCGGGAAACCGGGAUUAAUACCACAUAAAAUCGUAGAAACACAUGUUUUAACGGUCAAAGAUUUAUCGGUCAUAGAUGGGCUCGCGUCUGAUUAGCUAGUUGGUGAGAUAACAGCCCACCAAGGCGACGAUCAGUAGCCGGUCUGAGAGGAUGAACGGCCACAUUGGAACUGAGACACGGUCCAAACUCCUACGGGAGGCAGCAGUGGGGAAUAUUGCACAAUGGGGGAAACCCUGAUGCAGCGACGCCGCGUGAACGAAGAAGGUAUUCGUAUCGUAAAGUUCUGUCCUAUGGGAAGAUAAUGACAGUACCAUAG
rnacentral:rRNA from 1 species